rnacentral:rRNA from 1 species
UACGUAGGGGGCAAGCGUUGUCCGGAAUCAUUGGGCGUAAAGCGCGUGUAGGCGGUUUCGCAAGUCAGGUGUGAAAGCCCAGGGCUCAACCCUGGAAGUGCACAUGAUACUACGGAGCUUGAGUACUGAAGAGGAGAGCGGAAUUCCCGGUGUAGAGGUGAAAUUCGUAGAUAUCGGGAGGAACACCAGUGGCGAAGGCGGCUCUCUGGGCAGAUACUGACGCUGAGACGCGAAAGCGUGGGUAGCAAACAGG